AUGGAUGUUUUGAUAACUACGUCACACCUGUGGAUUUUGUUUGCUGUCAUCCCCCUGAAGUUUACUUCUACAGAGCAGAAAAACAUCACAGCUGAGUCUGGACAGGAUGUCACUCUGACAUGUCGAGCUCAAAAUAACAACAUUGAUCUUGUAGAGUGGAACAGAACUGACCUGGAAGAUAAACCUGUUUUUGUGUAUCGGAAUAACAUGUCCGAUCCAGAAAACCAGCAUCCAUCUUUUAAGAACCGGGUGGAUCUGCAGGACAGACAGAUGAAGGAUGGAGACGUGUCUUUGAUUCUGAAGAAUGUGAUGAUUAAUGACACUGGAACAUACGAGUGUCGUGUCAACAUGAAUUUAAAAUUAAAUAAAGACCCCAUCAGCAGCAUCUACCUUCAUGUUGCUGAUCCUCCAGGUCAGACAGGAGGACACACAGAGGAUGGAGGGAAGAAGGAUGGAGGGAAGGAGGAUGGAGGAGCGAAGAGUGGAUCUGUUGGACUGAUUGUUGGUCUGGUAGUUCCUGCUGUGCUUCUUGUUGGUGUCGCUGUUUUUAUGAUCUAGAUAAACCAUGACAAUCAGAAUCAGGAUUCAUACUAACCUGUUGAAAUGCACUAUGUUUGAAACAUCUCACAGCUUUUCCACCUGAAUCUCCUGCUGUUGCUCCAAAUUCCCAGCGUGUCACUCAACACAGGAACAAACGAUGAUCUGAGGACAUGGAAAUCAUGAAAUUUGGUUUUCAGGGUUUCAAGGACUGAAAAACUCACUAAAAUCCUGGAUUCUCUUCUGUUCUUCACUCAUCACCAGCUCUCACCUUCUUCUCACCUGCAGGUCCUCCAGGAGGACUUGGAGGGUUUGUGGGACUGGUAGUGAGUCUGUCAGUUUUGGUGUGUUUAUUCUUGUACCUAAUGUUCUGAUCUCUAAAAGAAGAAAAGGGAACGGUGCUGAAUAUGUGAUUUCUGCUUCUCAGAGAUCCUGUUAAAGUCUAAAGACAUUGGGAGGGUUUCAAACUGUUUGGAGCAGGGAAACAGGUACUAAUGGUGCAGCACUGACUGAUGUGUUUGUGGAUAUGAACUCAUACACAUGAACAUACCUCAGGUUCAUAUCUACAAAUUCAUGUCCCAGGACAUAAACUUUAUAUUUAAUUUUACAUUUGGACAUCUGUGGGGUUGGUGAUGGAGGGAAUCAUUUCACAGCUCACAGGUUUCUACACUUAUGAAAUAAAACUGCAUCACUUUAAGCAUUAAAUCUAUGAAGUUAGAUAAACAUGAGGGUUUGGGAUAAAAUUGUUUACACUAAUUAAUGGUGAUGCAUCCUUGGCAAUGUUAUAGACAUGAAAUAUACGUCUGAGUGAAACACUCAAAGUCAUCAUGUUGACUAUCAUGAACAUUUUUAUAACUCCCUCUUUACAACUGUCUUUACUGUGUAACAUUUCCUACAUUUACACAAACAGAGAUUUUAGACUGUAAAAGUGAAUUUUGCACAGCUACAAAUUACAAACUUUGUUUUAUGAAAACUGAAGUUAAUGCAGCAGUGACUGGAAAAUAACUUGUUCUGCAAAAUAGGCCAUCUCAGUACCACUGACUUUAUGGUAUUUUUCAAAUUUGUUUGUUUAUUUCCUUCAGCAGGUACUUGAACUUCCUUCAGUGGAAAAUGGAAACAGAAGUGUUACAGAAACCUGUGUUUUACAUUUCCUAUUUGUGAAACUUUGGUUUUUUUUCUGUGUAAACCAACAAUUUAAACAAACAAAGUAAUUUAUGCUUUUUUUCUCUGGGUUGAGUGUUUUACAAGAUAGUGAAUGCAUAAAUGCUGUGAGCACUAUAAAAAAAAAAACACUGUUGCAGUUUGUGCAUGUGUCAAGUCAGCCAUGAAAUCCUGACGGUAUCAGAGUAAAAAAGCUGGUUUAGAUUUCAUUUGUUUGUUUCUCACCUCUCCUCCAGGAGCUGCUGAAACAGUCCAGGUGUCUUUUUUCUGCUCAGUGUUCUGGAGGAAAGUGUGCAAGGAAGGAGGAAUGUUGUGCGAUGUGUGUUGAUUUGAUCACUUACAGAGCAGUUUCCCUCAUGUACUGUCUGUGUUCACAUUUUCUGUGAAUAUUACAUCGACCACUACCCGACUUAUGGGGUUUAGCCUGGUGCAGAACUUUUCCCUCAUUUGUUCCUUGGUUUAAUUCUGUUAUUUGUUUGAUUUUAAUCUCCCUGUGAAUCUGAUGCACUGAGCCACUGAAGUGAAGAACCAAAGAAAUAAAAAACUGGACUGUUGACUGUUUAACAGUGAUUUAUUUUUGCACCUUCUCACUGAUUCCUGCUGAAUCAGCACCAAAGAACACACAGCAAACACUCUGAGCUUUGCUUCAGGUCAUCAUGUUAUUCAUCAUCAGAGCGAUCAGUGAGAACAAUCUGAUGUGUGUUUACUUCAACUCAGUAAAAGGCUUCUUCUCACUUAAGUCCCUCUUUAAACCAGAGUGUG
rnacentral:lncRNA from 1 species